rnacentral:rRNA from 1 species
GAGUAAUUCGCUUGAGGAUGAGCCCGCGCGAGAUUAGCUAGUUGGUGAGGUAAUGGCUCACCAAGGCUACGAUCUCUAGCUGGUCUGAGAGGAUGAUCAGCCACACUGGAACUGAGACACGGUCCAGACUCCUACGGGAGGCAGCAGUAGGGAAUAUUGCGCAAUGGGGGAAACCCUGACGCAGCGACGCCGCGUGAGUGAUGAAGGACUUCGGUUCGUAAAGCUCUGUCGCAGGGGAAAAAUUCUUG